GUUAGUUCUUAGUCCAUUUGUACAUUUCUGAAUCAACUCUAAGGCAGAAAAGCUUGCCUAGAAUUUGUAGGGCAUAGCCAGUUUUGGUACUGCUAUUUGUUACAUAAAUGAAAAUCACUAGUUAAUUAGUACUUUUUUUUGGUAAUAGAGUGUUAAAAUGUCAUGCACUUGACCAGUUGUUAUUUCUCUCUUCUACAGUUGCAAGAUUAUAGAAGUCAUUUUAUACGUGAAUAUAUCUCUAGAAGUAUAUUAUAUAACAUGAAUGUCCACUAAAACAUUUUAAUGAAUAUUUUGGUGAUCAGAAUAGUGAAGUGGUAUAUUCUGGGUGUUUAUAUCUAGUUUCAUACCUUCUCCAGACUCUCUUCAAGGAAGCCUGUUCUUUUCAGAAGCAUCGUUUGCAUGGACUCUUUAAUAGAUGAGAAUGAUGAUUUUUUUUUUAAUAUGGUACUAGGCAGAGCCACAAGCACCAGUCAGUUCUAAAGAGCCAACUGAAACACAAAGUUAUAAUUGCUAGCUUGUGUGAAGACAUGCUUUUCUCCUUCCAUUCUUGUUUACAGUUACCUGAACCAAUGUCACUUUCAGAUGCGCAGGUAAAAUAUCAUGCUAAACAGCUAUUACUUCCUUUGGCAGUUACUAAAUCUCAUUUAGACAGAUGGGUCACUUUACUUAAGGCGGUGUUAAUUCCUUCUUUCCUUUUCUUCCUCUCACUCUUUCCCUUCCUUCUCUCCUUCCUUUUUUCUUCCCUCCCUCCACUGAUAUGGAAAAGUUUUAGAUAACUUAAUAGAUUGAAUAUUAUGG
rnacentral:lncRNA from 1 species